rnacentral:rRNA from 1 species
UACGUAGGGACCAAGCGUUGUCCGGAAUCAUUGGGCGUAAAGAGCGUGUAGGCGGCCAGACAGGUCUGCUGUGAAAACUCGAGGCUCAACCUCGAGACGCCGGUGGAAACCGUCUGGCUAGAGUCCGGAAGAGGAGAGUGGAAUUCCUGGUGUAGCGGUGAAAUGCGCAGAUAUCAGGAAGAACACCCGUGGCUAAGGCGGCUCUCUAGUACGGUACUGACGCUGAGACGCGAAAGCGUGGGGAGCGAACAGG